CGGGAUGCGGCUCAAGAAAGACACGCCCAAUCAAGUAGAUUGGCUCGUGGUCCUGUCAUUAAUUCUUCGUCGAGGCGGGGACCAUCUGUCGAUUAUGGGCAUCGAGGGCCUGCCAUAUUGACUUCUCCUAGCUCUCAACAGAGUGGAAGCAUUCGCAGUUUGCCAUCUCAGAAUCGUGGGUACGGUCAAGAUGUUCGAUUGGAAGAGAGACACCAGUCUGGGAGCAGAACCUUGGCAGUACCACAGAGGCAUGCGGAUGAGUCUAUUACCCUUGGUCCCCAAGGUGGUCUAGCCAGGGGGAUGUCAGUUAGAGGACAGCAUCUGCUCUCAAGUGUUCCUGCCCCUGAAAUCCAUUCCAACCCCAG
rnacentral:misc_RNA from 1 species